UGUGUGAUUUUCAUGAAUAAAUAAAAUCUUAAAAAAAAAAUCAACCACAUUGGAAGAGAUAUAGCAGCCCAGUCUAGGCAGCAUCCUUUCUUGAAAGGUAAAAAUAAAUAGGUGAUGAUAGAUAGAUAGAUAGAUAGAUAGAUAGAUAGAUAGAUAGAUGAUAGACAGAUAGAUAGAUAAUCAUGGCAGCCAUAAAGCAAAGGAAACCAUAGCUCUAAACGGAGUUGCAUAUGUUUGGCCUCUCUUAUGCCUGCCUCUUUAGUUUGAGUUUUACUAAAGCCUGUGCUCCACACUCAGAAGCAGUCAGAAGUGUUUAUCUUCGAUCUUCUGUGAAGUUGAUGCACAGGAGAAAGCAGUGAGAAUAACAACAGCCUACAGUUUGGGGACAUUCACCACGUGACAGGUGUUCCACCCUGGUUUACAGAGCCUAGAACACUAAAGUGGGAAGAAGACGCUCAAUACAUACUUAUUGAAUGAAUUAAUUCCUCUGUAAAAUGGACCAUAAACCUCUGUCUUGGACUUCCUGGCCACAGAAGAAGGAACUUCUUUUGUUGCAUGAGCUGCCCUAAAGACAACCUUCACUCAGGCCAGUCUAGCGGAACCAGAUCCUUGGAGGGGAAUUAGGGAAAGAACGCAGGAGGAGGCCCCAUUCCCAGGUACUGUGUAGACCAGGGCCUGAAGCAGAGCCAGAAACCUUCGCCCAGAGAUGACAGAAGCCCUAAUGGAGGUGCCUAAGGGACGGGUGGGGAUUUUAACACCAAAGUUGGAGGUCUCAGCAAUGGCUCAGGGACUAAGCUGACAAAGAAAGAAGACACACAAGAUAAAUAAUAACAAUGGACCAAAGACCAGAGAUCCUAUCCAAACCUCCUGGACAGUGCAAAUCCUGAGGUUAUGUUAUUCCCCCAAGGGAGGGAAAGAAGCCUGUUCCUCCCCAGCAACCAACCCUUGCUGGUCCAGACAUAAUCAUAUUUAAGUAAAAGAGAAAUAUGUAUUGUACAUGAAAGUUGUAGAGCUAAUUCAUAAAGGUCCUACAGAUGUAUAGUUCCUGAUCUAAUGUCAGGCACUUAGUAGAAACUUAACAGAUGCUAGUUUUCUCUUCUUACUGACCAGAAAAUGCUGUAAUGGUCAAAUUUGUCGAUCUUGGAGAUGAUGGAAGAAAGCUCCUGCUCAAAGUAGGAGCCUCAUGUUGCAAAAUA